ACGGCGAGUGAGCGACAAAAGCUCAAAUUUGAAAUCUGGCGCCUUCGGUGUCCGAGUUGUAAUUUGAAGAAGGUAACUUUGGUUUUGGCUCUUGUCUAUGUUCCUUGGAACAGGACGUCACAGAGGGUGAGAAUCCCGUGCGAUGAGAUGCCCAAUUCCAUGUAAAGUGCUUUCGAAGAGUCGAGUUGUUUGGGAAUGCAGCUCUAAGUGGGUGGUAAAUUCCAUCUAAAGCUAAAUAUUGGCGAGAGACCGAUAGCGAACAAGUACAGUGAUGGAAAGAUGAAAAGAACUUUGAAAAGAGAGUGAAAAAGUACGUGAAAUUGUUGAAAGGGAAGGGUUUGAGAUCAGACUUGGUAUUUUGUAUGUUUUACUCUCGGGUGAGGCCUCUGCAGUUUACUGGGCCAGCAUCAGUUUGGAUGGUAGGAUAAUGACAUUGGAAUGUGGCUCUUCGGAGUGUUAUAGCCCUUGUUGAUACUGCCUAUCUAGACUGAGGACUGCGUCUUUGACUAGGAUGCUGGCAUAAUGAUUUUAAACCGCCCGUCUUGA
rnacentral:rRNA from 2 species